rnacentral:rRNA from 1 species
UACAGAGGGGGCAAGCGUUGUUCGGAAUUACUGGGCGUAAAGGGCGCGUAGGCGGCCCGCUAAGUCGAACGUGAAAUCCCCGAGCUCAACUCGGGAACUGCGUCCGAUACUGGUGGGCUUGAAUCCGGGAGAGGGAUGCGGAAUUCCAGGUGUAGCGGUGAAAUGCGUAGAUAUCUGGAGGAAUACCGGUGGCGAAGGCGGCAUCCUGGACCGGCAUUGACGCUGAGGAGCGAAAGCUAGGGGAGCAAACGGG